rnacentral:rRNA from 1 species
UACAGAGGGUGCGAGCGUUAAUCGGAAUUACUGGGCGUAAAGCGUGCGUAGACGGUUAUUUAAGUCGGGUGUGAAAGCCCCGGGCUCAACCUGGGAAUUGCAUUCGAGACUGAAUAGCUAGGGUACGGUAGAGGGAAGCGGAAUUUCCGGUGUAGCGGUGAAAUGCGUAGAUAUCGGGAGGAACACCAGUGGCGAAGGCGAUCACCUGGGGAUGUUCUGACGCUGAGGAGCGAAAGCUAGGGGAGCAAACGGG